GACACUGUCCCAGUGUUCGAUCCUACUGAUGAUGGACAACAUAUCGGCUGUCCGUUAGAUCAACCACCUCGGUGGUACGAGAUCCAAACUUCUAGCGAAUCUGGCUCGAGACUUCUGGCAGUUUUGCCUACACCACAACAUGGCUGUCAGGGCGGAGUAUUUACCGGGUUUGUCCAACACCACGUCAGAUUGGUACUCCCGUCACCUGCGGGAUUCCAGCGACUGGCACCUCGAUCCCCGAGUCUUCCAGCGCAUUGGGGACCUGUGGGGUCCUCUGGCUGUAGACUUAUUUGCCUCCCGCUUGAAUACCCAACUUCCGACCUUCAGUUGGAGUCCAGAUCCUGCGUCUUCGGCCACGGAUGCAUUCUCCCA